rnacentral:rRNA from 1 species
CUACGGGUCGCACCAGUGAGGAAUAUUGCACAAUGGGGGAAACCCUGAUGCAGCAACGCCGCGUGGAGGAUGACGCAUUUCGGUGUGUAAACUCCUUUUAUAUGUCAAGAAAAUGACGGUAGCAUAUGAAUAAGCACCGGCUAACUCCGUGCCAGCAGCCGCGGUAAUACGGAGGGUGCAAGCGUUACUCGGAAUCACUGGGCGUAAAGGACGCGUAGGCUGGUUUGUAAGUCAGGUGUGAAAUCCUACAGCUUAACUGUAGAACUGCACUUGAAACUACCAACCUAGAGUAUGGGAGGGGGAGAUGGAAUUAGUGGUGUAGGGGUAAAAUCCGUAGAUAUCACUAGGAAUACCGAAAGCGAAGGCGAUCUCCUGGAACAUAACUGACGCUAAGGCGUGAAAGCGUGGGGAGCAAACAGGAUUAGAUACCCGUGUAGUC